CCCUUAGAUGUUCUGGGCUGGACGCGCGCUACACUGAAGCUAUCAACACGUUUUCCCUCCCUGAGAAGGGCGGGUAACCUUUUGAAUCAGCUUCGUGGUAGGGAUCGGGGCUUGCAAUUGUUCCCCGUGAACCAGGAAUUCCUAGUAGACGCGAGUCAUAAGCUCGCAUCGAUUAAGUCCCUGCCCUUUGUACACACCGCCCGUCGCUACUACCGAUUGAACGUUUUAGUGAGGCAUUUGGACCGACGCAUCUCAGUUUAACCGCUGGUUUGUGUUGGAAAGACUUCCAAACUUGAGCGUUUAGAGGAAGUAAAAGUCGUAACA
rnacentral:rRNA from 1 species